AACAUUACCUCAUAUUUUUAAUAGAGGCAGGCACCAUUUCAAAUUAACCCUUUUUGGUUAUGAAUUCUUGACAGAAAUAAGUAUUGAACAACAUCCACCGUAUAUCACAUUAGGGUGGAGAACACGAUGCCUUGCCCACUUAAAAAAUUCACCAAUGCAUUUUUGGGUAUGUUGGAGUUACACAACGAAAUGCAACUGAAAAGAAGUACUGGGCAGAGCCCAAGACGGCACAUCGAGCCAUGAACAAAUUGGUGUUCUCUCUUCUUUGCUGAACAAAGUGAACACUGAUUUUGGAGGAAGAGAGGCAAAAAGCAAGAAAAGACCAUGGAUUAGAGAAGUAAAGAUUGAAAGGGCAAGGAGGAAAUGAAAGGCCUCAGCUCAAUUCUGUAGUGAAUCAACAACCUUUCUCAAAGAGGAAAAAAGAAAACUAGCAUGUAUGGCUAGAAAGUGGCUAGAUGGUGUCACAGAACUCAAGAAUGAGAAAGUUCUGAGAAUACAACCUCACACUGCACCUCCUGGUGAAGAAUGAGACUGUCUUGUUUGAAGAUAGUAGGAAGACUGUGACUUCUUGCUCAUAAUGUGGAAUUUACUCUUUCCU
ensembl:lncRNA